UACGAAGGGGAGCUAGCGUUGCUCGGAAUUACUGGGCGUAAAGCGCACGUAGGCGGAUUGUUAAGUCGGGGGUGAAAUCCUGGAGCUCAACUCCAGAACUGCCUUCGAUACUGGCGAUCUCGAGUCCGGAAGAGGUGAGUGGAACUCCUAGUGUAGAGGUGGAAUGCGCAGAUAUCAGGAGGAACACCCAUAGCGAAGGCAGCUCGCUGGGACGGUACUGACGCUAAGGCGCGAAAGCGUGGGGAGCGAACAGG
rnacentral:rRNA from 1 species